GAAUUUUGGACAAUGGGCGAAAGCCUGAUCCAGCAAUGCCGCGUGCAGGAUGAAGGCCUUCGGGUUGUAAACUGCUUUUGUACGGAACGAAAAGAUUUGGGUUAAUACCCUGGAGUCAUCACGCUACCGUAAGAAUAUGAACCGGCACACUACGUACCAGCAGCCGCGGUUAUACGUAGGGUGCAAGCGUUAACCGGAAUUACGGGGCGUAAAGCGUGCGCAGGCGAUUUUGUAAGACAGAGGUGAAAUCCCCGGGCUCAACCUGGGAACUGCCUUUGUGACUGCAAGGCUAGAGUACGGCAGAGGGGGGUGGAAUUCCGCGUGUAGCAGUGAAAUGCGUAGAUAUGCGGAGGAACACCGAUGGCGAAGGCAACCCCCUGGGCCUGUACUGACGCUCAUGCACGAAAGCGUGGGGAGCAAACA
rnacentral:rRNA from 1 species